rnacentral:rRNA from 2 species
UUGACCUCGGAUCAGGUAGGAAGACCCGCUGAACUUAAGCAUAUCAAUAAGCGGAGGAAAAGAAACCAACAGGGAUUGCCCUAGUAACGGCGAGUGAAGCGGCAACAGCUCAAAUUUGAAAUCUGGCUUCGGCCCGAGUUGUAAUUUGCAGAGGAAGCUUUGUGCGCGGCACCAACUGAGUCCCCUGGAACGGGGCGCCACAGAGGGUGAGAGCCCCGUAUAGUUGGACGCCUAGCACGUGUAAAGCUCCUUCGACGAGUCGAGUAGUUUGGGAAUGCUGCUCAAAAUGGGAGGUAAAUUUCUUCUAAAGCUAAAUACCGGCCAGAGACCGAUAGCGCACAAGUAGAGUGAUCGAAAGAUGAAAAGCACUUUGAAAAGAGGGUUAAAUAGCACGUGAAAUUGUUGAAAGGGAAGCGCUUGUGACCAGACUUGCGCCCGGCGGAUCAUCCGGUGUUCUCACCGGUGCACUCCGCCGGGCGCAGGCCAGCAUCGGUUCUCGCGGGGGGACAAAGGUCCCGGGAACGUAGCUCCUCCGGGAGUGUUAUAGCCCGGGGCGUCAUGCCCUCAGCGGGGACCGAGGACCGCGCUUUGCAA